rnacentral:lncRNA from 1 species
GUUUUUCUGGUAUUGUCUGCCCGGCUGCUCCAAGCCAGACUGAUGAAAGAGGAGUCCCCUGUGGUGAGUUGGAGGUUGGAGCCUGAAGAUGGCACAGCUCUGUGAUUCAUCUCCUGCGGUUGUGGCGGCCACGGUGAUGGAGACUGCAGCUCAACAGGAGCGGUAGGAGGGUACCCGUGGAGGCCAAGUG